CGGGUGUAUAAUUAAAAUCUUCUGUUCAGGUCCCUGAUUCCCUGGUCUGCAGACUGCUGGUGCCAAUGGAGGAAAUUUUUCUCUUCUCUUUGUGACUCAUGCCUGCCUCAAUACCAGGUGCGAGGGGUGCAGAUUACUCAUGACAAUAUGAACAUGAAUAUUUGGAAGAGGAGGAGGAAGGUCCAUCUGAGGCUGCCUGCACAUGUGUCUGGGCGGUGGGUGGUCAUGGGGGUAAUACCAGGGCUUGGCAUGCAGGGCGGGGAUCACAGGACUCAGGGACUGGCUCUUACUGGUCCCCGCUGUGGAUGCAGGACCAGCGUACAGUGGUGACUCCUGCACCAAAGUCAGAGACAGAAGAACAUCCACCCAUCAAAUGUUAAUCCAGACCCACUGUGGUCUGGGACACGUUCCAUGCGGUGAAUUCAGCAGGAACAAGACACAGCCUUCUUGAAAUACAGGACCUAGGAACACAAAAUCUGCAAACUGCACUUAACACAAAAG
rnacentral:lncRNA from 10 species